rnacentral:rRNA from 1 species
GACGAACGCUGGCGGCGUGCUUAACACAUGCAAGUCGAACGAUGAUGCCCAGCUUGCUGGGCGGAUUAGUGGCGAACGGGUGAGUAACACGUGAGUAACCCGCCCUUGACUUCGGGAUAACUCCGGGAAACCGGGGCUAAUACCGGAUAUGAGCCGUCCUCGCAUGGGGGUGGUUGGAAAGUUUUUCGGUCGGGGAUGGGCUCGCGGCCUAUCAGCUUGUUGGUGGGGUGAUGGCCUACCAAGGCGACGACGGGUAGCCGGCCUGAGAGGGCGACCGGCCACACUGGGACUGAGACACGGCCCAGACUCCUACGGGAGGCAGCAGUGGGGAAUAUUGCACAAUGGGCGAAAGCCUGAUGCAGCGACGCCGCGUGAGGGAUGAAGGCCUUCGGGUUGUAAACCUCUUUCAGCAGGGAAGAAGCGCAAGUGACGGUACCUGCAGAAGAAGCGCCGGCUAACUACGUGCCAGCAGCCGCGGUAAUACGUAGGGCGCAAGCGUUGUCCGGAAUUAUUGGGCGUAAAGGGCUCGUAGGCGGUUUGUCGCGUCUGGUGUGAAAACUCGAGGCUCAACCUCGAGCUUGCAUCGGGUACGGGCAGACUAGAGUGCGGUAGGGGAGACUGGAAUUCCUGGCGUAGCGGUGGAAUGCGCAGAUAUCAGGAGGAACACCGAUGGCGAAGGCAGGUCUCUGGGCCGCAACUGACGCUGAGGAGCGAAAGCAUGGGGAGCGAACAGG